ACCCGUUCCCAUCCCGAACACGGAAGUUAAGCCCUCCUGCGCCGAUGGUACUUGGGGCUCGCGCCCCUGGGAGAGUAGGACGUUGCCGGGC
rnacentral:rRNA from 1 species